UAAUAUGCAGCAAAGGUUUCUUCUUCCGUCUGGAGUAUUUGAAAAUCGUUACAGGCUCUCCCCGAGAGGAACAAAAUGCGAAAUGUUUCGUCAAACAGAUGGCGCAUGACUCGCAGUCAGUUUCACUUUGAGUACCGCAGCGUCAGGACGAAGAAUCGAUUUCUGUGCAAAUUGUCAUUAGCAUUUAAAGGCACCAGAAAAGCAGGGUCGAAAAUCGGGCAAAAGCCUUGUCGAAUCCAUCUACCCGAUUCAAAGGGAAGGGCUCGUGAUAUCGAAAUUCAAGUAGAUGCAUUUCGACUGUUGUUCACAAGGAAAUAAUAAAGCGUUUGACUGCAGAAAUCGAAGGCCCACAGACUUGUCACCAUUUCACAGAUGCAGAUGAAAUUAAUCCGUGAAUAAAUUUUCUCAUUUUUUCUGGCGUAUUGAAGUUUGGCUUUGGCUUCUUAUAUGCCUAAAGGAAGUGAACUUAUUGUUUUGUUCUAUCUACGCGCUACUAUUCCAAAGUAAUAAAUCCGCCAACUAAUAAAACCGAAAUCGUCGUGAAGUACAAAAAAAUGGUAUGGACAGUUUUGACCAAUUGUGCCACAAUUAAUAAGUUGCGCGAGCAAUUUUGUAACUUUUCAUUUCCCAAUGAAAAGUAUUCAAAAAAUA